ensembl:snRNA U6 U6 spliceosomal RNA
GUGUUCGCUUCCGCAACACAUAUACUAAAAUUGGAACGAUACAGAGAAGAUUAGCAUGGCCCCUGCGCAAGGGUGACACGCAAAUUCUUGAGGCGUUCCAUAUUUUA